CUGUGGUUACAUAUGGAGGGAUGUCAAAGAAGCCAAUUUCCAUAUCUACUCCAUAUUUUAUAUUCAAGGAUAUUUCAUUGAAAGGAUAUCUGUUACAAGAAAAUAAUUUAGUUGAAGCACAAUAUAGGUGUUCGAUUGAUCAUCUAUUGGCCCUCGUUCGUGCUGGGAUAUUGCAAUAUGAGAUGGAUAUGGUACCUUUUAAAGAUUUUCAUAUAGCUCUUGAAAAGGCAAUGGGAAAACAAGGAAGUCAAAGGAAACAAAUUCUAAAAUUUUAAAAUAAAUUAGCUUCGAUUAUUGUUAGACUAUAUUUUUCAACUUGAAUUUUGUCAUUUCAUUUCUCCCUU